rnacentral:rRNA from 1 species
GAUGAACGCUAGCGGCAGGCCUAAUACAUGCGAGUCGGACGGGAUUCAGGAGCUUGCUUCUGAUGAGAGUGGCGCACGGGUGCGUAACACGUAUGUAACCUACCUUUAUCAGGGGGAUAGCCUCUCGAAAGAGAGAUUAAGCCCGCAUAAAAUCACAGCACAGCAUUGUGUAAUGAUCAAAUAUUUAUAGGAUAAAGAUGGGCAUGCGGAACAUUAGCUAGAUGGCGGGGUAACGGCCAACCAUGGCGACGAUGUUGAGGGGAUCUGAGAGGAUGGCCCCCCACACUGUUACAGAGACACGGACCAGACUCCUACGGGAGGCAGCAGUAAGGAAUAUUGGUCAAUGGGCGGAAGCCUGAACCAGCCAUGCCGCGUGCAGGAAGACGGCCCUACGGGUUGUAAACUGCUUUUAUACGGGAAUAAACCCAGAUACGUGUAUCUGGCUGAAUGUACUGUAAGAAUAAGGAUCGGCUAACUCCGUG